rnacentral:rRNA from 1 species
AACGAACGCUGGCGGUAUGCUUUACACAUGCAAGUCGAACGAACUUAGGCCCAGCUUGCUGGGAACGGUUAGUGGCAAACGGGUGAGUAACGCGUGGGAACCUACCUUGUAGUACGGAAUAGCCAUUGGAAACGAUGAUUAAUACCGUAUACGCUCUACGGAGGAAAGAUUUAUCGCUAUAAGAUGGGCCCGCGUUAGAUUAGUUUGUUGGUGGGGUAAUGGCCUACCAAGACUACGAUCUAUAACUGGUUUGAGAGGAUGAUCAGUCACACUGGAACUGAGACACGGUCCAGACUUCUACGGGAGGCAGCAGUGGGGAAUAUUGGACAAUGGGCGAAAGCCUGAUCCAGCAAUACCGCGUGAGUGAUGAAGGCCCUAGGGUUGUAAAGCUCUUUCAAUAGGGAAGAUAAUGACGGUACCUAUAGAAGAAGCACCGGCUAACUCCGUGCCAGCGCCGCGGUAA